GCUCUGCUCUUAAGACGCGUGUCUGCCGACGUUCCUGGCCGAAUAAAAAACCUCUUCCUUCUUUAAUCCGGUGUCCGAGGAGUUUUGUGUGCGACUCGUCCUGCUACAUUUCUUGGUUACAAAAACCUCUUCCUUCUUUAAUCCGGUGUCCGAGGAGUUUUGUCUGCGACUCGUCCUGCUACAUUUCUUGGUUACAAAAACCUCUUCCUUCUUUAAUCCGGUGUCUGAGGAGUUUUGUUUGCGACUCGUCCUGCUACAUUUCUUGGUUCCGUGACCGGGAAGCGAGGUGAUUGAAGGACGGUCGAGGCAGCCCCUUAGGCUGCUUAGGCCUGCCCUGUGGAGCGUCCCUGCAAGGGACUCUGGCCAGCUUGAGCGACGGGCAUCCUGAGAGCGCUCCCGGGUAGGCAAUUGCCCUGGUGGAACACCUCGUCAGAGCAGUGUGUGGCAGGCCCCCGCGGAGGAUCAACGUGGUGGCUGAACACCGGGAAGGAACUGGCACUAGAAGUCUGGACGUCUGAAACUUGAAACUCAUUAAUCUUCAAAGGCUUCAAGAGUGGCACAGAUGAAUCCAAUAUUCCUAUAUGACCUACUUUACUGAACUGGAAAAACUGCAUGCUGACAGCACAAAUGAUCUGUAAGAAGAGAUGCAGGUUGUAUAUGUCAGCCUCGCAGAGAACUCUUUCCAAAUACCACUGGGAGAACCAGAGCAACAUGACAACUCCACAGUAUAGCCCAAAAUACUG
rnacentral:misc_RNA from 1 species